GCCGGCAGCCAUAUCACCCUGUAGCCCAAGACUGGUUGCCCACUGAAGCUAAGCAGGGCUGAGUACCUGGAUGGGAGACCUCCUGGGACAACUAGGUUGCUGCUGGAA
rnacentral:rRNA from 1 species